GCAGAUGUUGGAAAAUGCAACUCACGUUCCUGGUGCUGUACACAAAUAAUAUAAAGUGCAUUAAAGCUGCAUCUUGGAGUGAAAAGGUUGAGAGAAAGAAUUUAAAAAAAGGUGUGAGUUAUUUGGGAGUCAAACAGGGUUUAAACGGCAGUCCGAAGAGUGAAGGAGACCCAUAAGAGAUGUGCUUUUGGUCAGUCUGAGCAACGACACAGCAAGCUGAUGGCUCUCGCUCAUCAAAGCAUUCACUCCUCUGACGUGAGCGGCUCUGACAUCGGUGAUGUGGGAGUGCUGUUAAAUCAUUCUCAUGGGACCGUGUUGCUAUAUCUUUACACUUUGCUCCCCUUCAUCUGCCUCCACAGGUCGUCUCAAUCAUACACGCUCUCACCAUAACAGACUUCACCGCUUAGCAUGUUUGUGCCAACUGUCCUGGCAGUGUCUUUUUCCCCCUCCCUUAGUGACAAUGAAAUCACAGAGAACAUCUUCAUCCUCCCAUUGGCUGCCGAGCUCCACGGUGAUGCCCUGUGAUUGGGCAUGGCCAGCGUGCACUCUGGGCAAAUCAGGCUCACUGUAUCCAAGAGACUGAAGCACGUAAGGCUAUUUAAAUCCAACCAGAGACUGGCAAGAUUGUUCAGAUGUAUGUUUCAGAGUGUAAAAAACGAAAAGCCGGGGGGGCUGAAAGGUUUACGAGUGGAUAAAUGUGAAAAUCCAGACAGACCUGAUUGGUUUUCGAAGAGGUCAGCCCAUCCAGACGAGGUUGAAGAGACACAGAAUGUAGUACAAGGAGGACGGCUUGACGUACCCACGGACGGCUAUCCGCAUUCAAUGGUGCACAUGGAAGCAGGACGGUUGCAUCGAAGACCAACUCGCGAUUGGACGGCAACUGCAGAGUGAAACUCUAGAGUGGAAGUCUGCGGCCAUUUUGGGUCACAUCCCCUUUUUUUUUUUUUUAUCGUCACAGUGUGAGUAACUCCAAAAUGGCGGAUGAAUCGAAAUAAUGAUGGCUAUUAA